UAACCCAACCGUUGGGUUACACAUAUUGGGUCAUUGUGUUGGGUUAUCUUAAAAUUUGUUGGGUCAUUUAUUUUCGGCGUUGGGUUAUUUUUAGUUAUAACCCAACUGUUGGGUUAAAUAUGGUUCCCGCUUCACUCCGGUUCAAAUUUUAACGGUCCAGUCAGCGACUCAGUGGACAUCAGCGGCAGUCUGCCUGAUUAUGAAAGGUAAGUAACUGUUAAUAUAAUGUUAAUAUAAUUUUAUGAUGUAUAUAACUGUUAUUACAUUAAGUAAUGUGUACUGAAACGUUAAUUAAAUCGUAAAACUAUUUAAAAAACGAAGUUUUAAUUCCCUUUAGUCAGUUCUUCCCCAGAUCGAUUGUAAAUGAAUAUGCUAUUCCCGUUUGCUUGCUAGCAUUAAUAAAUAAAAAUAUUAGCUGAAAGACUAGCAAAACCGUUUAGAGAAGUAUUACUUAACGUUAAUAAAAAUGUCUGGUGAAAUGUGAAAGGGCGCCGAAAUCUUUAGGCUAGAAAAGCCGCACGGACCAUUUAUCUGAUCGGACCAGUGACUGAAGCUGCUCGAGCGAGCUGAGCUCACACAUCAGUCAUACGACAGACACCAAGCGUUUGAAUUCGCUGAAUUUUCUGUUAUAGAAGUUCAAAACUCAGACGAAAGAGCAGAGUCGUAAGGCAAUCCGCUCUUUAGCAGAAAUUCGUACCAGCGCCCCAAACUACAUAACCUUACGUUACUCCUACAACAGAGCGUAAAACAAGCCAUUCGUCAGUGUAUCAGAAUUAUUUGAAAGUGUUAAAAAAACAACAACAACAACACAUACAUAGGCUAUAAUUGUUUUAUAUAGCCAUGCAUGUUGUAUUAAAGCCAUUACAGGAAUAAUGGAAUAGCCUGUAAUUAUAGUAAUUUUUUCUUAUGAAGCUAUAACAAUUUUGCAUUUAUAUUAAAUGUGUUAUACUAAACAUGUUUAUACUUAUGUUUUAGAUAAAUGGAUUUGUGGAUUUUUGUAAAGAAAAAGAUUACAACAGCGGAACCUCUGCAAUUUAAUAGAAACAUUUCAAGGUUGGUGCUAAUAUGGUCCACUACCUCAACAAUGAGACAAGCCAGGAUCCACAUGUCUUGGUGCUUGGAGACAAAUGAAAUUCCUCCCAAGUUUUCAUCAUUUUCAUUGGAGAGGCAGUUGAAAAGGAGACCUUACUUCAAGCAGUGAAUGAAUGCUUCAAAACGUUCUACAUCUAUGACGUAAACUACCCAAAGCCCUCUGCUCCAAUUUGGGAGUUCUUGCAGCAUGCAGUCUAUAAUAUUCCUGGAGGAGUUCCUUCUACACAUUGCUGCCUCCUAAAAAACUUUGUAUUCAAAGUUACUGAUCAUCAGUUGAUCCAGUAGCCAAAAACACACGUUUAAGGGUUAGUUCACCCACAAAUGAAAAUUCUGUCAUUAAUCACCCUCAUGUUGUUCCAAACCCGCAAGACCUCCAUUCAUCUUUGGAACACAAAUUAAGAUAUUGUUGAUGCAUUCUGACAGCUCUCUGACCCUCCUAUGGACAGCAAGGGUCCUUACACCAUCAAUGUCCAGAAACUUAGCAAGGAGAUUGGUAAAAUAAUCCAUGUGACAUCAGGGGUUUAACUUUAACAGCAUACGCUGUUUACGUUGAGUGGAUACUGUCCAAAAUGGCACUAGGGUGACACGGAGGAGACAAAUUGUUGAAUAAACUCAUUAUUUUUUUUUCUUUUGCCCACAAAAAGUAUUCUCGUAUAAUAUUACGGUUGAACCCCUGAUGUCACAUGGAUUAUUUUACCAAUCCUUGCUAAGUUUCUGGACGUUGAUGGUGUAAGGACCCUUGCUGUCUAUGGGAGGGUCAGAGAGCUGUCAGAAUGCAUCAAAAAUAUCUUAACUUGUGUUCCAAAGAUGAACGGAGGUCUUACGGGUUUAGAACGACAUGAGGGUGAGUAAUUAAUAACAGAAUUUUCAUUUUUGGGUGAACUAUCCCUUUAAGGUGUUUAUAACACAAUGCAUAUGGUGACCACUGCAGCAUUUUUAUUAAGGAUAUGUUUAUUUCUUGAAGUAUAAAGGUAUGUCCUUGGUGUACACAUUUGUGUAGUUUUUGGUAUACUGGUAUGUGCACAUUUGUGGUUUGAAUUUGUAUACCGUAUGUGCACAGAUGUUUAGGUUGUAUAUUUCUGUACUGUAUGUGCACAUUUGUUUUGAAUAUUUGUACUGUAUGUGGAUAUUUGUGUUUUGAAUUUAACAUGUAUUUGAAUUUAUGUAUAUUGUUUGUGUAUAUUUGUUUUGAAUUUAAUGUGUAUUUUGAAUAUUUGUACUUCAACAUUUAUUUGCCAUGUGUUCUGCAUGUUCACUCGUGUAUUUUGAAUUCAAUAUAAUUGUGCACAUUUAUAUUAAAUACUAGGCUCAUCAAUAUUGAGUAAAUUUGUCAUUUAAAACUUAAAAACUGUUUUUAAAGCAGAUUUAUUGUUUUUCUACUUAAAUAAAACAUACGUAUUUGAAAAUUGUGUAUUUUAUUCAUUAAAAUAAUCUCAUGAAUAAAAGUAAAUAGUUAACCCAACUGUUGGGUUAUUUUUAACCCAACUGGCUUUUAACCCAAUCAUUGGGUUAAAAAUAACCCACAGUUGGGAAGGUGCUAUACCAACCCAUAGUUGGGUUACUUGUUGGGUUAUUUUUAACCCAACUGUUUUUAGUGUGUAUUAUUUUUUUGCAAUUUUUUUAAUUAUUCUCCAAAUGAGUGAACAGCAGCUUAAUGCAACCAGACCUUUUGGCUUUUUGUGCAAUUAUAAGCUGGCACAGAGGGAAAAUCACUGAGUUAUUUUUGCUCCUGCAGUAGACUACAUUUCAUGAUUUUGUGAUGUGAAAUCAUUUAGCACGUAAUUGCAGGGUUGGUUUAACUGCUGCUCAUUAAAUGUAAACAGAUAUAUUUGGGGUUUAAUUAUAGCUCAGCACCCAGUUAUUUCAUCUGUCUUUUUUUUCUCAAAGCAGGAGACGUUUGUCUCUCAGUCAGCGACUCACUGUUUGGAAAAUAGCUGGGCCACCAUGGAUCAAUACUCUUUCAGUAUCAUACCACAGUGCCACACUUGAGGUAUUCUGUUCAUUGUGUUUUCUCUCUAGACAGAGUAACCCUGUUUUCAGAGAAUGUCUACAGUGUUUGCACAAACCAGAGAAACCAAAGUUAAGAAAGUGGUCUUGUAUAAAACUAACAACAACACAUGCAUGCUGUACCAAUAUUCUGGAUAUAUUAUAAAUUAAGCUUAAUAGACAGCUUUAUGACACAAUAAUGAUUGCAAAAUUUGUAUAUACUUUUUCUUAAAAAAAAAGGUACUUACAGUAGAAUUGAAUCUGUAAACAUUACUCACUCAUUCAAGAGUUUAGAUAUAAACAAUAUGCAUGUUAACAUUUGAGUAAAGUUAUAUCCAAAUUUAAAGCAUCAUUUUAGUAUCAUUGCGAUACUUUCGUAGUAUCAUUUAAUUACUUUUUAUUUUUUAUAUUUCCUGUUUUAAUUUUAAUUUUAAAGUUUUAAUAAAUGUGUUUUGUCUUUGUCAUUUUUUUUUAAAAGU
ensembl:lncRNA